UAGGGUUAGACAUCAAUCCUUGGAGGCUCGUUCCUAUGCCCAAGUAGUGAGGGAAGGCAGAAUGGCUUGGAGGAGGGAUCAUGGAGGGAGCAAUUGGAAACGGCGCCAAGAUGAAUGGAUGGAGGAAGAUGACCUUCUGGAAGGGGAUCCCUGCAGAGAACAAGAUCUGCGCGCUAAACUUCAGAGGGGAUCAGGAGAUUCUACUGACAGGAUCCCAGCAGAGCAGAGCUGGAGCGUGCUACUCAAGACAAAGGAUCAAGCGAUGUUGGAAGAUAUUCUGGACUCAAUGAAGAAUUGGUUACGGGAACAGCACUCGGUUGAGGAAAAUUGCAGCGACAUUGGAGUGAUUUGAAGUGGAAAAUACCCUUUCUUUUCUGUUUGGUCUGAAUACUGUUAAAUUACAUCGAAAAAACUGCUUUGAUCCUGGAAGCCGUGGAUGCAAAAUUUUGUCCCAGUCGUGGAAGCUGUCGCUGUAAUGGAUGCCGUAUGAGGUUUUUUCUUUUAGUGAUU
rnacentral:misc_RNA from 1 species